rnacentral:lncRNA from 13 species
UAUACUUAUGCAUGUACAUACUGUAUAAUGAUGCAGUCAGGGUAGUUAGUGUACUUUCCUGGAAAGGGCAAUUUCCUGAAACUCAAACUGCAUGGAUAUCCUGCACUGGAAAAGCUGAAAAAUUCCUGUGUUAAGUUUACAACCUUGGCUUUUUAGACAGGUGCCAAGUCUAAUGCAACCAGGGAACUGUUUUCACAUCUUUACAAGACAGAAGACAAAGCCCAUGUGUGCUGAAAGAGAAGUUAAGUAGACUGAAGAGGAGGAAAACGAGGAGAGGUUGGUCCUGCUGUCUCAGGAGUGGCAGAGGCAGAAGGAGAUCCACAGGGUCGAGCCGGGCUGGGUCUAGAGAGCGUUCUCUACCUGCGCGGAGACGAGAGACGGUGUAUUAAAGACCCGGUACACCGAGAUCCAGAGAAAAAGAGCUGGGCCCGGGUCGGAGGCCGGCAGGGCCCCGGGUGCCUGCACCGAACAGGGGUCAGGGUGAGCAGGGAACUGGCUGAGGCUUCAGUCUCCUGCUCGGGCGCUUACACUUUCCACCCACAGUCUCAGGUUUUUACACAGCUACGACUUUAAUUCCAUGGAAGCCAGGAAAUAUGGAAGAUCACUUGAGUAUGCGUUAAGCACUGUCUUUGGCACAAAUGCUUCAUGGGGUGGAAAAAUACACGGACUAAGUGAGUAGACUCACCAUUUAUCUACUUAAAUAGGGGUGGUAAUAAAAUUAGAUAUUUCUUCUAUUUAAUUUUUAUU